rnacentral:rRNA from 1 species
CCUGGCGGCCAUAGCGAACGGGAACCACCCGAUCCCAUUCCGAACUCGGAAGUGAAAACGUUCCGCGCCGAUGAUAGUGUGGGGCUUCCCCAUGUGAAAGUAGGUCACUGCCAGGCACCUAUUCCAACCCCUGCCCCCAUCGGGCAGGGGUUUUUUAUUGCCAUGAGAUAAUC